rnacentral:rRNA from 1 species
AUACGGAGGAUCCGAGCGUUAUCCGGAUUUAUUGGGUUUAAAGGGUGCGCAGGCGGCCAUUUAAGUCAGCGGUUAAAUCGUGGGGCUCAACCCCAUUCUGCCGUUGAUACUGGGUGGCUUGAUUGCGGUCGAGGUUGGCGGAAUUCGUUGUGUAGCGGUGAAAUGCAUAGAUAUGACGAAGAACACCGAUUGCGUAGGCAGCUGACCAGACCGCAAAUGACGCUCAUGCACGAAAGUGCGGGGAUCGAACAGGAUUAGAGACCCUGGUAGUCCGCACAGUAAACGAUGAAUACUGGUUUUCGGCGAUAUAAUGUCGGAGGCAAAGCGAAAGCGAUAAGUAUUCCACCUGGGGAGUACGCCGGCAACGGGGAAACUCAAAUGAAUGGACGGGG